ensembl:rRNA 5S_rRNA 5S ribosomal RNA
AUCUACAGCUAUACCAACCUGAAUGCAUCCGAUCUCACCUGGUCUUGGAAGCUAAGCAAGAUAAAGCCUGGUUAGUCCUUAGAUGGAAGACUGCCUGGGAAUACUGGGUGCUGUAGGCU